CUUUAAGCACAGCCCAGGCUCCCUGCCUCUGGCUCUCCACUGAUACCAUCUCUGUCAUCUCAUCUGCCAGCAUAGCUACUCGCUCCAGAACACUGCAAUGCACAACAUAUACCGAAGAGAAUUGAUGAAGAAAAAUUAAGGCCUGUAUUAACCCCCCGGAACCGUGUGGAUGGAUGAUGGAUGAAUGUGGAUGGAUACACUUUCUUCAGCUCAUACUCGUUUGUGUGAGGUCUGACCCUCAGCCAGCAGCCUGAGAAGCCUGGCGCUCUCCCUCAGUCGCGCUCUGAAGGUCUUCUGCAUGGCCUGCUGCGCUUUCAUCUCCACCCGCAGGAUCUGUAGCUGACUGUCCAGUAGCUGUGUCAGC